CCCGGGCAUACCAUUCUGCAGCUCAGACCUCCUUGGUUUGGCUUUUGCUUCUGGUCUCCAUGGCUGUGGAUUGGAGUGGGAUGGCAUGGGACUGUUGUCUCCGUCUGCCUAUUAGCAUCUUCCAUGUCCAGGUGCCCAGGCCUUGCAGUUACCUGCUGUCAACUGUGGUGAUGCAGAUGAUGUCCCUUCUGUGAUAUAUUCAGAUAUAAUUAAGUGUGACUCUGGACCCC